rnacentral:lncRNA from 1 species
AAUAAAAAUGAAUAAUAAUGUACCUAAAAAUGGAGGAAUUAAAACAAAUGUUUUUAGUUUCCGCUCACUGGGCUUUUAGCUCACCCCACUCCCAUUAUCCCCAGAGUUGCAGGUACAGGAGAGAUCAAGAAGUCGGCUAGAGUGAAGUCAAGUCAUAUGUAUGUAAUAGCUAGAGUAUGUGGACAUGACAUAUGAUAAGAAUGUAAUGUAAAGUUUGAACAGUCAUGUUUAUGUAAUUAUGUUAUUGAG